rnacentral:lncRNA from 1 species
UGGCCCACAAGUGCCACAUGUAAAGUUGAAACCCAUCUUCUCUUGCUUUCUGUGCAGGUCCUUCCAGAGAAAGAGCAGGAGCAGCCUGCUUUAUCAGAGAUGCCAUGGCAGAAUCAGGGAGAGCUGUUCCCAGCCCGAGAGCAGGAAGAGCAGCUCAGGCAGCAGGUGGAAGAGCCACAGGAGAACGACCAGGACAUCAAGGCAGAGCCACAAGCAGAGCUGCCCAAAGCUCAGAGUGACACUAUGGCAGUGAAGAGGAAGAACAAGGAAGACUUGAGAACCAUCCAAGAGAAGAAGAAUCUCCAUCAGCAGAGGGGUGAUCAACAAAACCAGGUGGAAGUGUUGUCGUCCUACCUGGCAGCCUGCAAAGACUUCCAGGAAAUGACGGGUGAUCAAGAACCCCGAGGCUGGCGUGAGGCACAGGAGCUGUACCAACCUGAGAUGCUGCAAGAUAAGCACAUCCUGAGGAUGCUACAGGAAAACAGAAUUCCAUGGAAGGAGGUAGAACACUAG